AGACCAAAGAACUACAGACUCUUCACAACCUGCUCAAACUCUUGGUACAGGACCUCACCACACGGGUCAAGAAGGUUGCUUUGUAGAACUGUUCCAGAAAACCUCACUAAACCACAUGGAGGGGCCUCAAGAUAGUCGUCCAAAUGAAACCAUACAAUAACCAAACUAGUACAACCCAAACGCUAAAGUCUCCUGCAGCCUACCAGAGAACCUCUGAGAACAGAGAAUCAGGACAGGAACUCUUACCUUCUGGACAACCAACGUUGGUUCACAAACAAGAAUACAGAAUGUGUCUGACCAAAAACCUCUGAAGACUCACUACAGCCAAGAUAAAGACACAACUCAGCUGUACCAAAUCCACUAAUCACUGCACACAUUAGCACCAUGUGCUAACUGUGGCUAAAGAACCACAUUUACCAAGACAGCUAUCCAGUACAAAGCCCUAAAACACACCAAGAAACACAUUAAAAACGAUUUUACUGCUGGAAGCUGCAAGCCAACGCCUAAAGAACAAACUAAAGCAAUGGAGCCAAACCCGGUUCACUGGUGAAGAGAAGCAGAGGAAAUGUUUGUCUGCAGCUAAAUAAAGCAGGAAGACACUGAGCUGCUCAGGUGUUCCUGAUAACACCAAGCAGCCACCUGGACAGCCAAUAGGAACACAGCUUACUGGAAGUCCAGAGGGCUGGCUUAGUGAAGGAAAUUUAGUUUAAAGUUGAAGCAGAAAGUUAACAAAGAAAGUUGAAAACCACCUUCUGAUCCCUGAAAUCUCUGAGUUUUCACACAAAGAACACCUGAACAUGUCAAACUGGCUUCAUAGUAGAAC
ensembl:lncRNA